rnacentral:rRNA from 1 species
GACGAACGCUGGCGGCGUGCCUAAUACAUGCAAGUAGAACGCACAGGAUGCACCGUAGUUUACUACACCGUAUUCUGUGAGUUGCGAACGGGUGAGUAACGCGUAGGUAACCUGCCUGGUAGCGGGGGAUAACUAUUAGAAACGAUAGCUAAUACCGCAUAAGAACAUUUACUGCAUGGUAGAUGUUUAAAAGGUGCAAAUGCAUCACUACCAGAUGGACCUGCGUUGUAUUAGCUAGGAGGUGAGGUAACGGCUCACCUAGGCGACGAUACAUAGCCGACCUGAGAGGGUGAUCGGCCACACUGGGACUGAGACACGGCCCAGACUCCUACGGGAGGCAGCAGUAGGGAAUCUUCGGCAAUGGGGGGAACCCUGACCGAGCAACGCCGCGUGAGUGAAGAAGGUUUUCGGAUCGUAAAGCUCUGUUGUUAAGGAAGAACGAGUGUGAGAAUGGAAAGUUCAUACUGUGACGGACUAACCAGAAAGG